rnacentral:lncRNA from 1 species
GUGGAGGCUGGGGAGAUAGCUCGGCACUUCGUGGGUUCAGUCCCCAGUACUGGAAAAAAGAGUUUGACUGACUUGAUGCUUCUAAAUGUGGGUUGGUUUGUGGAAAGUUCUCUGUAGUCAUGCAUUGGUUAACUGUGGGGAUACAGUCUGGGAAAUGUGUCCCUAGGCAGCUUCUUUCGUUUGAGGAGUACAGAAUCCACUUCCACAAACUAAGACAGCCAGUGUCAUAGGCGGUAUAAUCCGAGGGGCCCAUGGCCACCUGUGUCCUCCAGUGCUGAAGGAAAUGUCGUGAACUGUGCUCCUGUACUUAGGAAAGGGACAGAGCAUCUGAAUGAAGGUGAUCAGGGCUCCGGAGGCCGUUCCUAGCCGUGCAGGAGUACCCGGGAAGGAAGUGCGGUCAGCCUGGUCCUCUCUGCUUCACCUGCUCAGCAGAACUGCACCGGGCCCUGCCCAGCCCCGGGGAGCCCUUUCCUCCAAUGACCGGCCAGCGCGUGACCUAGCAGAUUGUGCCUCUGGAGAAUGUGACCAUACGGGGACAACGAGGCCACUGCUGAGAAGCGGAACGGAUCAGGGACACCGUGAAGGAGAGGGGGUGAGGUCUUCCCAACAGACUUGCCUCUGUCCAGCAGGGCCCAGGGGGCAGGCUCCUGAGACCCAGUUCUGUCUCUUCCGCGCUGUGAUGUGAAGACGCCCCCCCCCCGCACUUAUCAUUUGUGAAACACAAGUUUAUGCUAAGUGGCCCCCGAGUUCUCUGCCAGCAACAGUGUGAAGGGGGCCUGGGAUGCGGAGUCUCGACAGCUGGGUUAAACAUCUGCUCCGUUGCUCUGGCUACCCAGCGAGCAGGUCUCAUAGCAAGUCCGAGCCUCAGUUUCCUCAUCUGCACUUGGCAGUGAGAAUCCUGCGGUGCACCCAGGUGAGGUGAGGACUGCUGGCGGUGGCACCUUCAGUGAUUCCCUAGUUUCAUAAGCCAACCCCGGGGCCGUGUGGCUCCUCCUCAGAGAGUCUGGGGAUACCCCGGGGGGAGUGUCACCUCAGGGGGGUAUCCAUCCCUUCCUGCUGGGGCCAGAGGACACCCACGGACCUGGAGUAGGUGCAGAGCGAGUGUCGGGGGUCAGAUGUCCAGAUGGCCAUGGCUGCUGCCUGCCCCCAGGGGAGCCUGGGGUGGUGGCGGGUCGGCGGGGUGGGGUGGCGCUCCACCGCGAAGGAUUUCCAGAGGCUGGAAUCCACCAGGGCCUCACUGUUCCUCUGACCCUCACAGGAGCCACUGUCUUGGUUACAAGCGUCCAGGGCUUAGUGUGGGAGAAGAAAGGGCACAUUGUGGGUGCCUCAUCCACACUGUAGAAGGGAGGCGAUUUGGGCGACGUGCCGGGAAGGGCAGGGUGGGCCCCAGGAGCCGGAGCUCAGACCGCCCAUCGUCACCGGGCUCCACGGAGGCUGGGCCCGGCCGGACUCCCGCCCU